rnacentral:rRNA from 1 species
GACGAACGCUGGCGGCGUGCUUAACACAUGCAAGUCGAGCGGUAAGGCCCUUUCGGGGGUACACGAGCGGCGAACGGGUGAGUAACACGUGGGUGACCUGCCCUCAGCUCUGGGAUAAGCCCGGGAAACUGGGUCUAAUACCGGAUAUGACUCCAUGACGCAUGUUGUGGGGUGGAAAGCCUUGUGCGGCUGAGGAUGGGCCCGCGGCCUAUCAGCUUGUUGGUGGGAUGANGGCCUACCAAGGCGACGACGGGUAGCCGGCCUGAGAGGGCGACCGGCCACACUGGGACUGAGACACGGCCCAGACUCCUACGGGAGGCAGCAGUGGGGAAUCUUGCGCAAUGGGCGAAAGCCUGACGCAGCGACGCCGCGUGAGGGAUGACGGCCU